GCUAGUAUGGUGUAGUGGUUGGAACAUUGGACUACAACUUUGGAGACCAGGGUUUGAAUCCCUGCUCAGCC
rnacentral:tRNA from 1 species